rnacentral:rRNA from 1 species
GGUUCGAUUAUGGCUCAGUUGACGCUGGCGGGAUGCUUUACACAUGCAAGUCGAACGGCAGCACGGACUUCGGUCUGGUGGCGAGUGGCGAACAGGUGAGUAAUGUAUCGGAACGUGCCUAGUAGCGGGGGAUAACUACGCGAAAGCGUAGCUAAUACCGCAUACGCCCUUCGGGGGAAAGCGGGGACCUUCCCGGGCCUCGCACUAUUAGAGCGGCCGAUAUCGGAUUAGCUAGUUGGUGAAGUAAUGGCUCACCAAGGCGACGAUCCGUAGCUGGUUUUGAGAGGACGACCAGCCACACUGGGACUGAGACACGGCCCCGAGCUCCUACGGGAGGCAGCAGUGAAAUUUCAGACAAUGGGGGAAACCCUGAUCCAGCCAUCCCGCGUGUGCGAUGAAGGCCUUCGGGUUGUAAGCCACUUUUGGCAGGAAAGAAACGGCACCGGAUAAUACCCGUGCAACUGACGGUACCUGCAGAAUAAGCACCGGCUAACUACGUGCCAGCCGCGGUAAUACGUAGGGUGCGAGCGUUAAUCGGAAUUACUGGGCGUAAAGCGUGCGCGAGCGGUUCGGAAGAAAGAUGUGAAAUCCCAGAGCUUAACUUUGGAACUGCAUUUUUAACUACCGAGCUAGAGUGUGUCAGAGGGAGGUGGAAUUCCGCGUGUAGCAGUGAAAUGCGUAGAUAUGCGGAGGAACACCGAUAGCGAAAACAGCCUCCUGGGAUAACACUGACGCUCAUGCACGAAAAGCGAUGAGGAGCAAACGGGAUUAGAUACCCUGGUAGUCCACGCCCUAAACGAUGUCAACUAGCUGUUGGGGCCUUCGGGCCUUGGUAGCGCAACUAACGCGUGAAGUUGACCGCCUGGGAGUACGGUCGCAAGAUUAAAACUCAAAGGAAUUGACGGGGACCCGCACAAGCGGUGGAUGAUGUGGAUUAAUUCGAUGCAACGCGAAAAACCUUACCUACCCUUGACAUCUGGAAUCCGAAGAGAUUUGGGAGUGCUCACCGAGAGAACCGGAACACAGGUGCUGCAUGGCUGUCGUCAGCUCGUGUCGUGAGAUGUUGGGUUAGAAUCCGCAACGAGCGCAACCCUUGUCAUUAGUUGCUACGAAAGGGCACUCUAAUGAGACUGCCAUUCGACAAACCGGAGGAAGGUGGGGAUGACGUCAAGUCCUCAUGGCCCAUAUGGGUAGGGCUUCACACGUCAUACAAUGGUCGGGACAGAGGGUCGCCAACCCGCGAGGGGAGCCAAUCCCAGAAGACCCGAUCGUAGUCCGGAUCGCGGUCUGCAACUCGACUGCGUGAAGUCGGAAUCGCUAGUAAUCGCGGAUCAGCAUGUCGCGGUGAAUACGUUCCCGGGUCUUACGUACACACGCCCGUCACACCAUGGGGAGUGGGUUUUACCAAGUAGUUAGCCUAACCGUAAGGAGGGCGAUUACCACGGUAGGAUUCAUGACUGGGGUGAAGUCGUAACAAGGUAA